rnacentral:lncRNA from 1 species
GAACAUGCUAAAGAAAGGGGAAAAUUAAGGAUAGCCGAAGGAGGUAUUCGUUCUAGGAAGAGCGUGACAGUAGUCCGACACUUUCCACCAAGCUGUGGGAGAAAUGUAAGGGAACAACUAGAAAAGGAUAAGGAGAAAGUAACAGUGGCGAGUAAACCCCUUAAAAAAGUGUUAGGUGUACGACAUUUUCCUCCUGGAUGUGGAAGAAAUG